AGGGGUAUAGUUCUUCGGAACUAGAGACCGGCGCACGGGUGCGUAACGCGUAUGCAAUCUACCUUUUACAGAGGGAUAGCCCAGAGAAAUUUGGAUUAAUACCUCAUAGUAUGUGAGAAUCGCAUGGUUUUCACAUUAAAGUUCCAACGGUAAAAGAUGAGCAUGCGUCCCAUUAGCUAGAUGGUAAGGUAACGGCUUACCAUGGCGACGAUGGGUAGGGGUCCUGAGAGGGAGAUCCCCCACACUGGUACUGAGACACGGACCAGACUCCUACGGGAGGCAGCAGUGAGGAAUAUUGGACAAUGGGCGCAAGCCUGAUCCAGCCAUGCCGCGUGCAGGAUGACGGUCCUAUGGAUUGUAAACUGCUUUUGUACAGGAAGAAACACUCCCUCGUGAGGGAGCUUGACGGUACUGUAAGAAUAAGGAUCGGCUAACUCCGUGCCAGCAGCCGCGGUAAUACGGAGGAUCCAAGCGUUAUCCGGAAUCAUUGGGUUUAAAGGGUCCGUAGGCGGUUUAAUAAGUCAGUGGUGAAAGCCCAUCGCUCAACGGUGGAACGGCCAUUGAUACUGUUAAACUUGAAUUAUUAGGAAGUAACUAGAAUAUGUAGUGUAGCGGUGAAAUGCUUAGAGAUUACAUGGAAUACCAAUUGCGAAGGCAGGUUACUACUAAUGGAUUGACGCUGAUGGACGAAAGCGUGGGUAGCGAACAGGAUUAGAUACCCUGGUAGUCCACGCCGUAAACGAUGGAUACUAGCUGUUGGGAGC
rnacentral:rRNA from 1 species